rnacentral:rRNA from 1 species
AUACGGAGGGUGCAAGCGUUAUCGGGAUUCAUUGGGUUUAAAGGGUGCGCAGGCGGAAUGAUAAGUCAGUGGUGAAAUCCUACAGCUUAACUGUAGAACUGCCAUUGAUACUGUCAUUCUUGAGUACACUUGAAGUGGGCGGAAUGUAUCAUGUAGCGGUGAAAUGCAUAGAUAUGAUACAGAACUCCGAUAGCGAAGGCAGCUCACUAAAUUGUAACUGACGCUCAGGCACGAAAGCGUGGGGAGCAAACAGGAUUAGAAACCCCAGUAGUCC